rnacentral:rRNA from 1 species
CCAGGGCUACACACGUGCUACAAUGGUUGGUACAACGAGUUGCGAGUCGGUGACGGCGAGCUAAAUCUCUUAAAGCCAAUCUCAGUUCGGAUUGUAGGCUGCAACUCGCCUACAUGAAGUCGGAAUCGCUAGUAAUCGCGGAUCAGCACGCCGCGGUGAAUACGUUCCCGGGCCUU